rnacentral:lncRNA from 1 species
ACUCGGUUAGAUGAAUUGAUCCGAAAGACUGGUCGACCUACGGUUGUUACGCUGACCAGAAAUUGCUCUGACAUGCAAUCCAAAUAAGGAUCGGAUGCGACUGAAGAUCGACCUGUUGAUUCUCCGACCAAAGGUCGGACCAAAUUUUUUCCGUCCAGGAUUCGAGUAAAGAACCAUCCGACUAGAGGUCGAACCAAAAACUAACUGACGAAGGAUCGAAG